rnacentral:rRNA from 1 species
CGGCUGCUAAUACGUCAUAUGCCGCGAGGUGAAAUGAAUUUCGCCUGAGGAUGAGCUCGCGUCUGAUUAGCUAGUUGGUGUAGGUAAUGGCUCACCAAGGCAUCGAUCAGUAGCUGGUCUGAGAGGAUGAUCAGCCACACUGGGACUGAGACACGGCCCAGACUCCUACGGGAGGCAGCAGUGGGGAAUUUUCCGCAAUGGGCGAAAGCCUGACGGAGCAACGCCGCGUGAGGGAUGAAGGCCUCUGGGCUGUAAACCUCUUUUAUCAAGGAAGAAGAUCUGACGGUACUUGAUGAAUAAGCCACGG